ACUCCUAUGGUGUAAAUAGCACAGUAAGUUUUCGUCUUACAAGAAUAAAAAUUUUUAUUAGUAGUCCC
rnacentral:tRNA from 1 species